GGUCUCGUGGUGUAGCGGUUAACAUGCCUGCCUGUCACGCAGGAGAUCGCGGGUUCGAUUCCCGUCGAGACCGCCA
rnacentral:tRNA from 10 species